GCUCUGUGGUGCUGAGACUUGUACGUGG
rnacentral:piRNA from 1 species